UACAGAGGGGGCAAGCGUUGUUCGGAAUUACUGGGCGUAAAGGGCGCGUAGGCGGCCUUCUAAGUCGAACGUGAAAUCCCCGGGCUCAACCCGGGAACUGCGUCCGAUACUGGAAGGCUUGAAUCCGGGAGAGGGAUGCGGAAUUCCAGGUGUAGCGGUGAAAUGCGUAGAUAUCUGGAGGAACACCGGUGGCGAAGGCGGCAUCCUGGACCAUAACUGACGCUGAGGCGCGAAAGCUAGGGGAGCAAACGGG
rnacentral:rRNA from 1 species